GACGAACUUUGGCGGCGUGCUUAACACAUGCAAGUCGAACGGAAAGGCCCUGCUUUUGUGGGGUGCUCGAGUGGCGAACGGGUGAGUAACACGUGAGUAGCCUGCCCUUGACUUUGGGAUAACUUCAGGAAACUGGGGCUAAUACCGGAUAGGAGCUCCUGCUGCAUGGUGGGGGUUGGAAAGUUUCGGCGGUUGGGGAUGGACUCGCGGCUUAUCAGCUUGUUGGUGGGGUAGUGGCUUACCAAGGCUUUGACGGGUAGCCGGCCUGAGAGGGUGACCGGCCACAUUGGGACUGAGAUACGGCCCAGACUCCUACGGGAGGCAGCAGUGGGGAAUAUUGCACAAUGGGCGGAAGCCUGAUGCAGCAACGCCGCGUGCGGGAUGACGGCCUUCGGGUUGUAAACCGCUUUCGCCUGUGACGAAGCGUGAGUGACGGUAAUGGGUAAAGAAGCACCGGCUAACUACGUGCCAGCAGCCGCGGUGAUACGUAGGGUGCGAGCGUUGUCCGGAUUUAUUGGGCGUAAAGGGCUCGUAGGUGGUUGAUCGCGUCGGAAGUGUAAUCUUGGGGCUUAACCCUGAGCGUGCUUUCGAUACGGGUUGACUUGAGGAAGGUAGGGGAGAAUGGAAUUCCUGGUGGAGCGGUGGAAUGCGCAGAUAUCAGGAGGAACACCAGUGGCGAAGGCGGUUCUCUGAGCCUUUCCUGACGCUGAGGAGCGAAAGCGUGGGGAGCGAACAGGCUUAGAUACCCUGGUAGUCCACGCUGUAAACGGUGGGUACUAGGUGUGGGGUCCAUUCCACGGGUUCCGUGCCGUAGCUAACGCUUUAAGUACCCCGCCUGGGGAGUACGGCCGCAAGGCUAAAACCCAAAGGAAUUGACGGGGCCCCGCACAAGCGGCGGAGCAUGCGGAUUAAUUCGAUGCAACGCGUAGAACCUUACCUGGGUUUGACAUGGAUCGGGAGUGCUCAGAGAUGGGUGUGCCUCUUUUGGGGUCGGUUCACAGGUGGUGCAUGGCUGUCGUCAGCUCGUGUCGUGAGAUGUUGGGUUAAGUCCCGCAACGAGCGCAACCCUUGUUCACUGUUGCCAGCACGUUAUGGUGGGGACUCAGUGGAGACCGCCGGGGUCAACUCGGAGGAAGGUGGGGAUGACGUCAAGUCAUCAUGCCCCUUAUGUCCAGGGCUUCACGCAUGCUACAAUGGCUGGUACAGAGAGUGGCGAGCCUGUGAGGGUGAGCGGAUCUCGGAAAGCCGGUCUCAGUUCGGAUUGGGGUCUGCAACUCGACCUCAUGAAGUCGGAGUCGCUAGUAAUCGCAGAUCAGCAACGCUGCGGUGAAUACGUUCCCGGGGCU
rnacentral:rRNA from 1 species